rnacentral:rRNA from 1 species
CGCGUAGGCGGCUCCAAAAGUCAGGGGUGAAAUCCGGCAGCUUAACUGUCGCAGUGCCUUUGAUACUGUGGAGCUCGAGGGAGGUAGGGGUCUGUGGAACUUCCGGUGGAGCGGUGAAAUGCGUUGAUAUCGGAAGGAACGCCGGUGGCGAAAGCGACGGACUGGAUCUCUUCUGACGCUGAGGCGCGAAAGCCAGGGGAGCAAACGGGAUUAGAUACCCCGGUAGUCCUGGCCCUAAACGAUGGGUACUAGAUUGCGGACUUACAUGGGUUCGCAGUCGAAGCUAAUGUUUUAAGUACCCCGCCUGGGGAGUAUGGUCGCAAGGCUGAA